AAUUUGAGCCAGCCGCCGCGCGGUAAAACCAGCACCUCGAGUGGUCAGGAGGUUUAUUGGGCCUAAAGCAUCCGUAGCCGGUUGUUUAAGUUUUCGGUUAAAUCUAUGCGCUUAACGUAUAGGCUGCCGAAAAUACUGGACAGCUAGGGAGUGGGAGAGGUACACGGUACUCAAUAGGAAGGGGUAAAAUCCUUUGAUCUGUUGAUGACCACCUGUGGCGAAGGCGGUGUACCAGAACACGUUCGACGGUGAGGGAUGAAAGCUGGGGGAGCAAACCGGAUUAGAUACCCGGGUAGUCCCAGCUGUAAACGAUGCAGACUCGGUGAUGCAUUGGCUUGUGGCCAAUGCAGUGCCGCAGGGAAGCCGUUAAGUCUGCCGCCUGGGAAGUACGUACGCAAGUAUGAAACUUAAAGGAAUUGGUGGGGGAGCACCACAAGGGGUGAAGCCUGCGGUUCAAUUGGAGUCAACGCCAGAAAUCUUACCCGGAGCGACAGCAGAAUGAAGGUCAAGCUGAAGACUUUACCAGACAAGCUGAGAGGUGGUGCAUGGCCGUCGCCAGCUCGUGCCGUGAGAUGUCCUGUUAAGUCAGGUAACGAGCGAGACCCCUGCUCCUAGUUGCUACCGUUACUCUCUGGAGUAGCGGAGCGAAUUAGUAGGACCGCCGCAGUUAAUGCGGAGGAAGGAAGGGGCCACGGCAGGUCAGUAUGCCCCGAAACUCUGGGGCCACACGCGGGCUGCAAUGGUAUUGACAAUGUGUUCCGAAUCCGAAAGGAGGAGGCAAUCAUCAAACAAUACCUCAGUUAUGAUUGAGGGCUGUAACUCGCCCUCAUGAAUAUGGAAUCCCUAGUAACUGCGCGUCACUACCGCGCGGUGAAUACGUCCCUGCUCCUUGCACACACCGCCCGUCAAAUCGUCGACCUGCAGGCAUGCAUCCCACAGUGCGCAGCUGAUGGCGAUGGCGCUGAUGCGGUGA
rnacentral:rRNA from 1 species